rnacentral:rRNA from 1 species
AUUGAACGCUGGCGGCAGGCCUAACACAUGCAAGUCGAACGAGUGGCGGACGGGUGAGUAAUGUCUGGGAAACUGCCCGAUGGAGGGGGAUAACUACUGGAAACGGUAGCUAAUACCGCAUACCAUCGGAUGUGCCCAGAUGGGAUUAGCUUGUAGGUGAGGUAACGGCUCACCGAGGCGACGAGCCCUGGCUGGUCUGAGAGGAUGAUCAGUCACACUGGAACUGAGAAAAGGUCCAGACGCCUACGUGAGGAAGCAGUGGGGAAUAUUGGACAAUGGGCGAAAGCCUGAUCCAGCCAGGCCGCGUGUGUGAAGAAGGUCUUCGGAUUGUAAAGCACUUUAAGUUGGGAGGCGUUACCAACAGAAUAAGCACCGGCUAACUUCGUGCCAGCCGCCGCGGUAAUAC